CUCUGCACGCCGUGGGGUGUUCAUCAGCUGGACAGGCAGCUGCCACCUAGACAGAGUGAAACCCACCGCCUGAGUUCUGGAGUAAUUGUCCCAAGGAGGACCUUUCCACUUUGGGUUGUCCUGGAAAGAGGCUGCUCCUCGGCUAGGAAGUGAGGUCCCGGGCAGAGACCUCAGUGGGAGGGAGGAGACAUGAUCUUCCUGAGUCUCAGCCCCAAGGCACCAGUCUGGAUCCCUCGGUGUGCUGCCCAGAGCUCGUCAGGCACUGAUGAGGAUUGAGAGGAGGGCAGGGGGGAGCACCCCCGUACGACAUGACACACACACACACACACACACACACAUUCCCCUCCUGAGACAUUUGCAUCCAGGAAACAUGCAGGCAAUUCCUUGUUUGUGCAACUAAAACUCCAGAGUCCCCCAAAGUGAAAACAGCAGGCGGCUCCGAAGUGAACUUCAACUACCACCUCUUCCGAGACAGAAAACGCUCAGUACUGGGAGGACAGGGUUUCCAGAUUUUUCUUCCCCAAGUAGGUUCCAAAAAUACCAAGGCACUGAGUUUCAGCCAGGGCACCCCUCACACCUGGCCUGGUCCCGGGGAUCAGGAUGCACUCUCUGCACGGAGCACUCUUCUUGGUGGCCUCUGCGGCCUCUGCAACGGAGCUUGUCCUGGGACAACAAAGGUCUUAAUUUGACAGCUCCUCAAAUGACCAGCCCUGGGAAGGGGACAUGGUCAUGAAAAUAAUAAGAAAGAAAAAGGACUACAGCAAAACAGAAAACCUGAUUUAAGACAGCAGGACUUUUGAAUCCUGAUACAACAGGUUAUCAGAAGAACGAAUAAAUUAAACUUACCAAUUAGAAGACACAAGAGUAUGGAUGGAGUUAAACGAUGUUACCCGCGAGAGACACAGAAUAGUUGACAAUAACAGGAAGGGAAAAUGCAAGCCAAUUGUAUGUGCACUUAAAGAAGGCUACAAAAGGAUUAAAACAUUAAGCCACAAUGCAGCUUUCUGAUAGUCAAAUGAUCAACAUACAGAAAUAUAUUUUCCAACCACAGGGCAAAAAAAAAUUAGAAAUUAAGUCACAAAAGGGAUAGUGCAAAUAUUGUAUGUUUGGAAACCAAAUAGUCUAUUACCAUAAAUUUGGGGUUAAAGAGAUAAUCAUAAUUAUUAAAAAGUAAUACAAACAUUGCACAUUAGAAGGACAGGGCAGAGUGAAGCAGCUGUUACUGCGGCUUAUCUUCCGAUUUCUUGUUAGUGUCUUUUGAAGCACACAUUUGAAAAAAAUUCGAUGAAGUUCACCCUAUCAAUGUUUUAUUUUACGAUCUUAUUUUUGAUGUCAUGGCUAAGGAAUUGCACCUGGCCCACAGCUUCCUUGACUUUCUCCCAUGUUUUCUACCAGUUUUAGUUCCCGGUUUUCAUGUAGCCCUCUUUGUGUUAAUUCUUGUGGGGGACAUGAGGUAGGGUUCCAAACUUCUUUCUCAUGUGGCUAUCCAGAUGUCCCAGCACUAUUUGUGGAAAAGACUGUCAGUCCCCCCACUGAGUUCUGUUUGUUGCCUUUGUCAAAAAUCAAUUGACAAUCUACAUAAAAGGGUUUUGUUUUUUUUCCUGGACUUUUGAUCCUGUUUCAUUGAUCUGUGUGACUACAGUGAAACCAAUACGAGACUGUCUUUGUUACUAAAUUUUGUUCUUUUAAAAAAUUGUUUUAUCCAUACCGGGUCCUUUAAGUUAUUUUUGUCAUGAAGUUUUUAGCUCUUUUUUCUAUUCUGGAUACAAUCUUUUAUCAGUUAUAUGAUUUGUCAAUAUUUUAUCCUAAUCGGUGGCUUUCCUUUCAUUUUCAUUUGUAAAUAUUAGGAUCAAUUUGUCAAAUUUUGCACAAAUGCCUGCUGGAUUUCGACAGGGAUUAUAUUGGAUUUACAAAUUGCCAUGUUAACGUGAUUGUGCCUCUGGCCCAUGAACAGGGACGGCCUCCCCAGUUGCUCAUGUUUUCUUUAAUUCCUCUCAGCAGGAUUUGGGGGUUUUAGCAUUUAACUCUUAUACUUCUUUGGUUACAUAUAUGCUUCUGUAUUUUAUUCUAUUAUUAUUUAAAAUUUUCUUAAUUUCAUUUUCAGAUUGUAUAUUACUAAUGUAUAGAAAUUCAGUGGAUUUUUGUGUAUUGAUACUGCACUCUGCACCUUUGCUGGAUUUUUUAUUAGUUCUAACAGGAGUGUUUGUGUUUAUUCUGCUUAGGGCUCUCCAAAAUUCUCAAAUAUGUGAUUUUUUUUGUCUUUGACUAACUUUGGGAGACUCUCAGCCACCAUCUCUCCAAGUAGCUUUUCUUCCACGAUUUCUUGUUUCCUCUUAGGAUCAUAAGUGGACAUUCACUAGAGUGUGUUCAAGUGUUUUAAAGGUCUUGGAUGCUUGAUUUAGUUCUCUCUCUUUCUCUUUUUUCUCUUUGUGUUCAUUUUGGAUGACUUCUACUCACCUGUCUCCCAGUUUAUGGAUUCUUUCCUUAGUUCUUUCCAGUGUGUUAAUUAGCCUAUGAUAAGAAUGUUGAUAUUGUGGGGGUGGGGGUGGAGAGGCUAUUUCCAUUUGACUUUUGUUAUUUUUGAGACAGGGCCACGCUCUGUUGCCCAGGCAGGGGUGCAGUGGUUCGAUCACAGCUCACUGCAGACUCUAACUCCUGGGCUCAAGAGAUCCUCCUGCCUCAGCCUCCAAAGUAGCUGGGACUAUAAUCCCAGCACUUUGGGAGGUCAACUUUGGGGAUUAAAAUUCACAUGAAAUUUGGGUGGAGACACAGAGUUAAACCAUAUCGCAUGUUAAAGUGCAGCACGUGCUGAAAGUUCCCUGCCUCUAGAUGCCUACAUGCCACUCCUUUUCUGGCCUCAGCUUCUUUAAAAUGACAAGAGCCAAGCCCUUUAGAGAGCUGGCACUGGGGUCCUUUUCCCAUGCGUUGCUCCCUUGCUUUGCUCAACCUGCAAGCCUAUUAAAGUUUGCCUGAGAAAAAUUUCUGUUUGACCUGGU
rnacentral:lncRNA from 1 species